rnacentral:lncRNA from 1 species
GAGGUUAAAACUUUAGAGUUUACUUCACGCCAAACCACCACGUGAGGGUGAACUUAGCCAACGUCAAUGAACGACUAUGUUUUCAAAAUAAAAACAUGAUUUAUGCAUACAUAACUUUUUAACAGCCUUGGUGGACUCAGUUGGGAUAGCCCUAGGCCAAGGUAUCCCUGAUAACUGAGUAUGAGAAUGAUUUUGGCACGAGCCAAA